UUUGACAAAAAGAUCAAAAAGCGAGCGACUGGAAGGACGUGCUGACGUCAUACGCCCUUUUCAGGAUUUAGAAUCCCUCUUUUUCUCUGUACUCUGAUCUGACACUCCGAAUUCAUCGCCUACGUCAUUUGCCAGAACAUGUGGGGGACUAGCGCCUUUUUCUUCUCAAGAUUGAUUCUAUUUUCUGUCACUUUACACCGGAAAAGCGAAGACAAUUGCGUGCGGCUAGGGUUUCUAGGGUUUCAACGCUGGAGACCCGGCCCUAUGAAAUUCCUUUCCCAAGAAGUAUGUCGUUUGAAAUGGCGGAGUCUACAGUAAGCUAGAUUUGCGUUUGUCACCGAACGCCUUUUUUUUCUUCAAGAUUGAUUCCAUUUUCUGUCACUUUACACAAGAUUGCGUGCGGCUAGGGUUUCUAGGGUUUUUAGGGUUUCAACGUCAGCGAUCCGGCCCUGUAAAAUUCCUUUACCGAGAAGCAUGUCGUUUGAAAUGGCUGAGUCUACAGUAAGCUAGAUUUGUGUUUUUUACCGACGCAUACAAAUGAAAAGGUGGAGAAAGGAAAAGAAAAGGAAAAAGAUGGCUGAAGAGAAAUGAUGCUUCAACAAUAUAUCUCAACGUGGGAUAUUUUCAUUCGUACAUUGACUGAAGGAUUCAAUCAAUCCCACAAGCUCUAUACGUCACUAUGAUGUAAUCUUUUGCCUCUGUCGUCAAGUGAAUGAAAAAGGGCCCUCUUUUGUCUCAA